AUGGCACAGGUCUGCACGCGUUCAGAUAACUUCAGAACACUGCUAUUCUAUAGACACCAUCAAUCCUACAGUCAGCUGUGGAGCAGAACCUUGUGGAAAGGGGACGGAGGUCUGGACCAGGACAAGGCCCUCACUUGUGAUGAUUGCUGCAUGCAAAAUCCCGAAGGCUUUUUCUGCUGCAAUCAGCAGCACCACCACGCCGCAGGUGGAGUUCGGCUCUCAGGACGAGGCCAGGAAUCCUGUGGACUGCUGAGGUCACGGGCGAGCUCUCGGCCCAACACUUUCUUCUCACCAUGGCUCCAGGAGUUUUCUUCAGUGGUGGACUUCACUGUGCUUCAAAGUACAUACAAUAUUCUCCUGGUGUUGGUGGUUUCGGUGUAUGUGCUCCGAGCACACAACGGCCUUCGCGCAGGAACCUCCACCUGGAACCACGGCAGGUUUCAUCCAGCAUCUCGAGACAAACAAACCAUCAGAGCCGCUGACUUUCCAGGAAACUUAUCUAAAGGGCUUGAAAGACGCGCGGCCUUUUCUCUAUGAAUUGAUCGGCGGGGGUUCACUGGAGGUCAACGAUGGCAUGGAGGAGAUCCAAGCGGCCCAGGUGCGGAGGAAAUGAGGCUCAUGGCUGAAGAGGAGCCACUGUGUGCAGGGACAGUGUCUUACUGAUCCUCGCCCACUCGUCCC
rnacentral:lncRNA from 1 species